rnacentral:lncRNA from 1 species
UUUGAGAGCACGGGGAAGUAAAAUUAACAAAGAUGUAUUGUCAAGGGACUACCUGGAUCAGUGAUUUGUUUUCGGAUGCUGGUUAAUCCAUUUAGAUAUUAAUUGAUGCAAGUUCUUCUCCGACCCUGAACUUCUUCUCACAGCAACAAAUUCCUACCAUCACAUGAACACAGUAACACAGUAAAUUCAUCACAACAACAAAGCCAUAGAGUUUAGGGCGCGCAAGCACAAACCUGAAUCCUUGCGCGGAGGUGGCGAUGGCGGACCCGAGAGUGAGCGUUAGUUCCGUGAGAGGACAGAGGCAUUAGGGUUUCGU